GCCCAGUGCUGCCAGUCCAAGUACUGGUGCCAGGCCUGGUUCCUCUGGCGUGGGUGUCCUGUGGUAAUUGCUGGAAACCGGUGUGAACACUGAGUCAGCGUGUCCAGAGUGAGUCACUGGGGAGUGGGUGCCCACCUGCCACAGGAGGAGGCAUGCUGGGGUGGUCGUGUGGCUGCCAGGAGUGGCAACACCAGCCUCGCUCACUGAUGCUGCCGGAGCUGCGUGUGAACGGCCCCAGCCUGGCUGGAGCUCUGCCCGAGUGCCACCACCCAGGAGUGCAGGAAGCAGAUUCCAGGGCAGGAUCCCAUCACCUCUGCUUUCGUCAGACUCUAUGCAAGUCACGGACGGGGUAUGGAGUGCUCCGAGGCACCCUAAGGACACGCAUGAACAGAUCGUGGGCACAGGCAGCACUCUGAGCACUCCAGUCCAUCUUCCCCUGCUGCAUCCUGACCAGCUCGUGCCAUGGAUCCUGCCUUGCCUUCCCCAGGGAAUCCUGCCCUGCUUGGUGAUUCGUGCGAGCUGUGGCUCCUGGCGAGCCCCGACCUGCGAGGGGGUGAUGGGCUGGGGGCUGGGCAGCAGCUCUGGCAGCACCUUCACCCCUGGCUUGGGGUGCAUCCGCCUCUCCCCACGCAGAGGAAGCGUCAGCAGAGCAUCCAUCACCCCGCACCUGCUCAGCCCGUCCUGGGCUGCUGGCCAGCGGCAGGAGGAGCCCGGCCUCCUGGCUGAGUCACGGCCAAGCUGGAUGAGGGACUUGUCCUGCUGCCAUGGGACAGGGAUGUGACACGGCCUGGCUGUGGCAGGAGGACAAGGCAGCACCUUGGAGUCCCAAAACAGUUGCCCCAGCUCAGUGCCUUUCUCCAUUUCUGCUGCAUGGUGCCGAGGAGGGGGCUGGGGGGGCACUGAGCUGGAGAGGGGCUCACAGCCCACACUGGGGAGAGAAGCCAUCUGCCCAUGUGCCGUGGCUGUGGCACAAAGGGCUCUCGGGGGGGAUGGUUCUGGUCACCCUCUCCCUGCCACCCUCAGGCAGGGAAGGCAUGGGCAGGGCUGCAGGGGCUCCGUGCCCGGCAGUGUGGAGUUGGGGGGACCAGUGGCAAGGAUGGGG